AGUGAACGCUGGCGGUAGGCCUGACACAUGCAAGUCGAACGGCAGCACAGGAGAGCUUGCUCUCUGGGAGGCGAGUGGCGGACGGGUGAGGAAUACAUAGGAAUCUACUCUGUCGUGGGGGAUAACGUAGGGAAACUUACGCUAAUACCGCAUACGACCUACGGGUGAAAGCAGGGGACCUUCGGGCCUUGCGCGAUUGAAUGAGCCCAUGUCGGAUUAGCUAGUUGGCGGGGUAAAGGCCCACCAAGGCGACGAUCCGUAGCUGGUCUGAGAGGAUGAUCAGCCACACUGGAACUGAGACACGGUCCAGACUCCUACGGGAGGCAGCAGUGGGGAAUAUUGGACAAUGGGCGCAAGCCUGAUCCAGCCAUACCGCGUGGGUGAAGAAGGCCUUCGGGUUGUAAAGCCCUUUUGUUGGGAAAGAAAUCCAGCUGGCUAAUACCCGGUUGGGAUGACGGUACCCAAAGAAUAAGCACCGGCUAACUUCGUGCCAGCCGCCGCGGUAA
rnacentral:rRNA from 1 species